GGUGAUGCUAUUUCAUGAUUUUAAUUAUGUCUGAUGAUUAUUUGUCUCAUAAUUAGUGUUUUAUACAUUAAACCAUGCCAUGUUAACUUUUCUAAUUUUUAUUUUAUUUAAUAUUGUUAAUUUGUUUUUAACAGGAUUGGUGAGGCGAAAUAUGUAUCGGAGAAAAAAGAAGAGAAGAGUUGAUGGGGAUGAAAGCUUUUGUGGAGAAAGAAGAUGAGUUGAUGUAUCUUAGUUUUUUUUUAAAAUUUAACUCCUUGUUUAACUUCUUGGAUUAUUAGACUUUAUAAAUAUUUGAGUGUUGAACUUGUAUAAUAUUUUGGAGUCGUUUGAAGAAGAUGUUGAGAACUU